rnacentral:rRNA from 1 species
UACGAAGGGGGCUAGCGUUGUUCGGAAUUACUGGGCGUAAAGCGCACGUAGGCGGACAUUUAAGUCAGGGGUGAAAUCCCGGGGCUCAACUCCGGAAUUGCCUUUAAGACUGCAUCGCUAGAAUCAUGGAGAGGUGAGUGGAAUUCCGAGUGUAGAGGUGAAAUUCGUAGAUAUUCGGAAGAACACCAGUGGCGAAGGCGACUCACUGGACAUGUAUUGACGCUGAGGUGCGAAAGCGUGGGGAGCAAACAGG